rnacentral:rRNA from 2 species
UAAUACGUAGGGAGCAAGCGUUGUUCGGAUUUACUGGGCGUAAAGGGCGCGUAGGCGGCGCGGUAAGUCACUUGUGAAAUCUCUGAGCUUAACUCAGAACGGCCAAGUGAUACUGCAGUGCUAGAGUGCAGAAAGGGCAAUCGGAAUUCUUGGUGUAGCGGUGAAAUGCGUAGAUAUCAAGAGGAACACCUGAGGCGAAGGCGGGUUGCUAGGCUGACACUGACGCUGAGGCGCGAAAGCCAGGGGAGCAAACGGG